rnacentral:lncRNA from 1 species
UUUCCCAAUCCUUCAGGUUUUAGUGCUGUGUCACCCCUGGGGGUCCCAUGCUGUCCCUGUACUUUUGGAGGCCCCAUCUUAGCUGUAAUUGUGUUCUCACUGUGUAAGCCUGGACCACUCUGGGCAGAGGUGGCAGGAAGACCGGCCCCUCUGUCCCCUGAUGUAUCCCCAGCAGUGGGCACCAAGUGAAGAACUGGCAACAGCCACCCAGCCCCUGAGCCUCCCAGGGCUCCCCGUCUGCACUCCUGGCCUCUGAGCCUUAGGGCCUUGCUCCCCUGGGCCUCUUGUGAAGACAACUGCCUGGCCACAAGGUGGUCCAGGAGGUUGCUGCCCACCUCAGCCUUGCCAGCACUCCCACCCAUCCGUAGGCUCUGUCGGUCUGGGCAGGGUCGCUCCUCCCCUUCUGGUGCCGCAAGUGCCUCUGGCUGUACAAACCUUGAUUUUCCAAAUCUUCUAUUACAGCCCAACCCACACCUUGAGGUGGGAUUUGGAAUCACCCUGACCUACAGGGCCAACAGUUCAUGUCCUGACACCUGCCUCCAAGAGACAUGUGCCUCCUCUGCUGCCCAGCCCUGCAGGGGUGAUAAGGGUUCCCAUGGACUCUGGCCUGGGGCGGGAAGCCUGCUCUGCUCACCGGAUUCCGCGAGCCUCCCCUCCAACUCCAACGUUCACCUAAACGAUGUUCAACCACCACAAACCACUGGAGCAGAACAGGCCAUUCAUUAAUUCAUUCAUGCAGCAGGUACUCCCUGAACAUUUGCUGUUGCCCAGUCACGGUGUGGGCUGGGGUUCAACACUCGUUUGUUCAAUCAACAAACA